GGGCGCAUGGUUUAGUGGUAUAAUACUCCCUUAGCAAUUUCGGUUCGCAGAUUUGGGAGUGGUCCUGGGUUCGAUUCCCAGUGUGUCCA